rnacentral:rRNA from 1 species
CCUACGGGAGGCAGCAGUGGGGAAUAUUGCACAAUGGGGGAAACCCUGAUGCAGCGACGCCGCGUGAGGGAAGAAGUAUUUCGGUAUGUAAACUUCUAUCAGCAGGGAAGAAAAUGACGGUACCUGACUAAGAAGCCCCGGCUAACUACGUGCCAGCAGCCGCGGUAAUACGUAGGGGGCAAGCGUUAUCCGGAUUUACUGGGUGUAAAGGGAGCGUAGGCGGGGCAGCAAGUCAGAAGUGAAAGCCCGGGGCUCAACUCCGGGACUGCUUUUGAAACUGUUGAACUAGAGUGCAGGAGAGGUAAGUGGAAUUCCUAGUGUAGCGGUGAAAUGCGUAGAUAUUAGGAGGAACACCAGUGGCGAAGGCGGCUUACUGGACUGUAAAUGACGCUGAGGCUCGAAAGCGUGGGGAGCAAACAGGAUUAGAUACCCCAGUAGUC